AGAGUUUGAUCAUGGCUCAGGAUGAACGCUAGCUACAGGCUUAACACAUGCAAGUCGAGGGGAAACGACAUCGAAAGCUUGCUUUUGAUGGGCGUCGACCGGCGCACGGGUGAGUAACGCGUAUCCAACCUGCCCAUCACUUGGGGAUAACCUUGCGAAAGUAAGACUAAUACCCAAUGACGUCUCUAGAAGACAUCUGAAAGAGAUUAAAGAUUUAUCGGUGAUGGAUGGGGAUGCGUCUGAUUAGCUUGUUGGCGGGGUAACGGCCACCGAAGGCGACGAUCAGUAGGGGUUCUGAGGAGGAGGUCCCCCACAUUGGAACUGAGACACGGUCCAAACUCCGUACGGGAGGCA
rnacentral:rRNA from 1 species